rnacentral:rRNA from 1 species
UACGGAGGGGGCUAGCGUUGUUCGAAUUACUGGCGUAAAGCGCACGUAGGCGGCUUUGCAAGUUAGAGGUGAAAGCCCGGGGCUCAACUCCGGAAUUGCCUUUAAAACUGCAUCGCUAGAAUUGUGGAGAGGUAAGUGGAAUUCCGAGUGUAGAGGUGAAAUUCGUAGAUAUUCGGAAGAACACCAGUGGCGAAGGCGACUUACUGGACACAUAUUGACGCUGAGGUGCGAAAGCGUGGGGAGCAAACAGG